rnacentral:rRNA from 1 species
GACGAACGCUGGCGGCGUGCUUAACACAUGCAAGUCGAACGGAAAGGCCCUGCUUUUGUGGGGUGCUCGAGUGGCGAACGGGUGAGUAACACGUGAGUAACCUGCCCUUGACUUUGGGAUAACUUCAGGAAACUGGGGCUAAUACCGGAUAGGAGCUCCUGCUGCAUGGUGGGGGUUGGAAAGUUUCGGCGGUUGGGGAUGGACUCGCGGCUUAUCAGCUUGUUGGUGGGGUGGUGGCUUACCAAGGCUUUGACGGGUAGCCGGCCUGGGGGGGUGACCGGCCACAUUGGGACUGAGAUACGGCCCAGACUCCUACGGGAGGCAGCAGGGGGGAAUAUUGCACAAUGGGCGGAAGCCUGAUGCAGCAGCGCCGCGUGCGGGAUGACGGCCUUCGGGUUGUAAACCGCUUUCGCCUGUGACGAAGCGUGAGUGACGGUAAUGGGUAAAGAAGCACCGGCUAACUACGUG